GAGAAUCUAAUCUGAGAGGUGGUAGGUGACGGAUGGGGUCCCCAGCUGCCAAAGGUCGCACGGCGGGAAGGAGCUGGCCGAAGCACUGACUUGGAAGUCAGACCUCAUUUCCAGGGUCACAUCGCCAGUCGUGGCCUUGCGCGGAUUACCUAACAUCAAGUCUCAAUUUCUUCACCUGACAAUCACCUCCUAGGAUUGCUGUAAAAAAUAAUAAUAAUAAUGCAUUACAGUUCUUGGCCCAGUGCCUGGCUCAUGGUGAGUUCUCAGUAAAUAACCAUGACCAGCACGUUGGGAGGCUGAGACAGGAGGAUCUCCUGAGCCCAGGAGUUCGAGACCAGCCUGGGCAACAUAGCCAGAUCCCCGUCUCUACAAAAAAAAUUAAAAAUAAUUAGAUAGGAGUGGUGGCAAGCGCCUGUGGUCCCCGCUACUUGGGAGGCUGAGUCUGGAGGAUCUCUGGAGCCCAGGAGGUCGAGGUGCAGUGAGCCGAGAUCGUGCCACUGCACUCCCAGCCUGGGCAACAGAGCAAGACCCUGUCUCAAAAAAAUAAAGUUGGUAACUAUGAGGGUGCUAAGGAAGAUGCCCACCCAAUUCACUGUGCUUUCUACUUCUCCCGCUGGAAAGCCUUGCUCUGGAGGAAGGCAGCUGCAGAGGAAGUCCACAGAACCCCAAUCUUGGAUGGCUACUCGUGUCCCUCCAAUCUCCAGGCUCUCCUCCCUCUGGUUCACACUGCACAUUGCUUCACUAACCUGCUGGCUGCCUCACCAGCAACCGCGUUACCUUCGGACUGAACAGAGAUUUCAAGAGGACCCUCACUCCAGUGACAAGUGUCCUAACAGAACAAGGCAGAGCGAGACUACACAAACAGGAGGAGAAAGACCUGAGAAGGAGGAGGCAGAGAUGAGACUGAUGCAUCCACAAACCAAGGAAUGCCCAAGGCCACCAGAAGCCAGAGGACACGAGUGACAACACCUCCCUAGAGCCUCUGGACAGAGUUCAACCCUGCUGACACCUUCAUUCUGGACUUUCAACCUCCAGAGCUGACAGUGAGAGAAUAAAUAUCUGUUGCCUUUUUUUUUUUUUUUUUUUUUCAGAUGGAGUCUCUCUUUGUCACCCAGGCUGCAGUGCAAUGGCACAAUCUCAGCUCACUACAAUCUCCGUCUCCCAGGUUCAAGCAAUUCUCCUGCCUCAGCCUCCCAAGUAGGUGGGAUUACAGGUGCCCGCCACCAUGCCUAGCUGAUUUUUGUAUUUUUAGUAGAGACAGGGGUUUCACCAUGUUGGCCAGGUUGGUCUUGAACUCCUGACUUCAGGUGAUCUUCCUGCCUUGGCCUCCCAAAGUCCUGGGAUUACAGGUGUGAGCCACUGCGCCCGGCCAUCUGUUGUCUUAAGCCACCAAGUUAGUGGUAAUUUGUGACAGCAGCCACAGGAAGCGAAUACAGGGGUAUGGGGAAUGAAAUCGCUCUAAAUUCUCCUCUGUCUUUCAGUGCAUAGACAUAAGUGUGCACCCACACCCAAGAAUGGAAUUGCUGGAUCACAGGGUGGGUGUAUGUUCAGCACUAAGAGAUAUUGCUAAACAAUUUUCUAAAGAGGUUAUAGCAAUUUAUACUCCCACCAAUGUUUGAGAUCCAGUUUCUCCACAUGGUUGUCAGCCUCAGUGCUAUGGUUUGAAUAUUUGACCCCUCCAAACCUCAUGUUGAAAUGUGAUCCCCAGUGUCAGAGGUGGGACCUAAUAGGAGGUGUUUGGGUCAUGGGGGCGGAUCCCUCAAGACUUCAUGACAGCUUGGUGCAGUCUUGGAAGUAGUGAGUAAGUUCUCGUUCUGUAAGUUCCUGUGAGGGCUGAUUGCGUUUUUUUUCGUUUCGUUUGUUGUUUGUUUGUUUUUCUUCGAGACGGAGUCUUGCUCUGUCACCCAGGCUGGAGUGCAGUGGCACCAUCUCGGCUCACUGCAACCUCCGCCUCCCAGGUUCAAGCAAUUCUCCUGCCUCAGCCUCCCAAGUAGCUGGGAUUACAGGCUCCUGCCACCAUGCACAGCUAAUUUUUGUAUUUUUAGUAGAGACGGGGUUUCGCCAUGUUGGCCAGGCUGGUCUUGAGCUGCUGGCCUCAAGUGACCCACCCGCCUCCGCCUCCCAGAGUGCUGGGAUUACAGGCAUGAGCCACCGCGUCCAGCCUGGGCUGGUUAUUAAAAAAAACAGACUGCUACCUCCCCUCUCUCUCUUGCUUUCUCUCUCACCCUAUGGUCUCUGCACACGCAGGCUUCCGUUUGCCUUCUGCCAUGAGUGGAAGCAGGUUGAGGCCCCCAUCAGAAGUAGAUGUUGGUGCCAUGCUUCUUGUAUGGCCAGAAGAACCAGCAGCCAAAUGAACCUCUUUUCUUUAUAAAUUACCCAGCCUUGGGUAUUCCUUAUAGUAACACAAGCAGAUGAAGACAUUUAGUAUUGUCUUUUGCAUUUCACCCUUCUGGCGGCUGUGCAAUAGUUUUAAUUUUUAUUUCCCUGGUGACUAAUGAGGCUGUAUGCUUUUUCUUAAGCUUUUUCACCAUUUGGAUAUGGUUUUCUCGUGAUGGGCCUACUCAUAUCUUUGGCCCAUUUUUCUUCUG
rnacentral:lncRNA from 10 species